rnacentral:tRNA from 1 species
UGCCGGAUCGUCUAACGGUAGGACAUUGCCCUUUGGAGGCAAGUAUCUAGGUUCGAAUCCUAGUCCGGCAA